GAUGAACGCUGGCGGCGUGCCUAAUAUAUGCAAGUCGAGCGAACAGACGAGGAGCUUGCUCCUCUGACGUUAGCGGCGGACGGGUGAGUAACACGUGGAUAACCUACCUAUAAGACUGGGAUAACUUCGGGAAACCGGAGCUAAUACCGGAUAAUAUAUUGAACCGCAUGGUUCAAUAGUGAAAGACGGUUUUGCUGUCACUUAUAGAUGGAUCCGCGCCGCAUUAGCUAGUUGGUAAGGUAACGGCUUACCAAGGCAACGAUGCGUAGCCGACCUGAGAGGGUGAUCGGCCACACUGGAACUGAGACACGGUCCAGACUACUACGGGAGGCAGCAGUAGGGAAUCUUCCGCAAUGGGCGAAAGCCUGCCGGAGCAACGCCGCGUGAGUGAUGAAGGUCUUCGGAUCGUAAAACUCUGUUAUUAGGGAAGAACAAAUGUGUAAGUAACUAUGCACGUCUUGACGGUACCUAAUCAGAAAGCCACGGCUAACUACGUG
rnacentral:rRNA from 1 species